ensembl:snRNA U6 U6 spliceosomal RNA
AUGCUCACUUUGGCAGCACAUACACUAAAGCUGGGUCAACAGAGAGGAUUAGCAUGGCCCCUGCAGAAGGAUGACAUUCAAAUUCGUGAAGUGUUCCAUGUUUUU